CUACGGGGUGCAGCAGUGAGGAAUUUUGCGCAAUGGGGGAAACCCUGACGCAGCAACGCCGCGUGAGCGAAGAAGGCCCUCGGGUCGUAAAGCUCUGUCAAGUGGGAAAAAAAUUUUUUGAUCAAUAGUCAAAAGACUUGAUGGUACCACUGGAGGAAGCACCGGCUAACUCCGUGCCAGCAGCCGCGGUAAUACGGAGGGUGCGAGCGUGGUUCGGAUUUACUGGGCGUAAAGAGCGUGUAGGCGGUUUAGCAAGUCAGAUGUGAAAGCCCUGGGCUCAACCCGGGAAGUGCAUUUGAAACUGCUUCACUAGAGUAUGGGAGAGGAGAUUGGAAUUCCUGGUGUAGAGGUGAAAUUCGUAGAUAUCAGGAGGAACACCCGUGGCGAAGGCGAUUCUCUGGACCAAUACUGACGCUGAGACGCGAAAGCGUGGGGAGCAAACAGGAUUAGAUACCCCUGUAGUC
rnacentral:rRNA from 1 species